CCUACGGGGGGCAGCAGUGGGGGAUAUUGCACAAUGGGGGAAACCCUGAUGCAGCGACGCCGCGUGGGUGAAGAAGUAUUUCGGUAUGUAAAGCCCUAUCAGCAGGGAAGAAAGACGACGGUACCUGACUAAGAAGCCCCGGCUAACUACGUGCCAGCAGCCGCGGUAAUACGUAGGGGGCGAGCGUUAUCCGGAUUCACUGGGUGUAAAGGGAGCGUAGACGGCCGUGCAAGCCAGGAGUGAAAGCCCGGGGCCCAACCCCGGGACUGCUCUUGGAACUGUGCGGCUGGAGUGCGGGAGGGGCAGGCGGAAUUCCUGGUGUAGCGGUGAAAUGCGUAGAUAUCAGGAGGAACACCGGCGGCGAAGGCGGCCUGCUGGACCGCGACUGACGUUGAGGCUCGAAAGCGUGGGGAGCGAACAGGAUUAGAUACCCGAGUAGUC
rnacentral:rRNA from 1 species